CCAGUUACACUGCGCAACUGGAUUGAGUUAGCUGAGUAAAGUCUUUCGUUUUUCAUUGGUUCUCUAAUGUGAUUGGUCUUUCUUAAUUUCAUCAUCCAAUAAAUUUAAUUCUCUGUUUGAUACAAGUAACUGUUCAAACUAAGUAAAAUUAGGCAGUACUUCAUUUUCAACAUCGUCGGUCAAUCCAGCCUGUAAUACAAUACAGUACUUGAAAUCUUCAAUGAUUCCAAAAACAAACCCAAAUAUUGAUAAAUAUAUUUUAUGUCACCAUUAAUUGACUAUUAUUCAUUUGGUAUUAAUCUCUACACUUUUCUUACCUUUUUUAUUUAUUUAUUUUUUUGGGGGGGGGGGGGGGGGGGGGGACUAAACUUAGGAAAAUAGAAUUACUGUAUCAGAAAUUUAAAAAAAAAUGUUUUUUGAGUGUUAUCUUUCUUAAUUAAAGAGUAGUUAACAAAUAAAAUAGUCAACAGCAUGCAGUGUUUGUACUAAAGUUUUAGGAGAGUAUUAGACUCUUCUCAACAAAUGGUGUCAUCCUCUGCUGUUUAUGGAAAUCAUAUAUCAAUAGGGUAAAUGGUUGUAAUCUAUUUGAUUUUAACAUUUUACAUUUCUAAGCCUUAGAUCUUUAAAAAGCCAAAGGGUUUUCUAAUACAGAUGUACACGGGAUUAUGUAUUUAGUAAAUACUUUGAACUGUCUGUUCUGACAGCAGUACCUGUUUUUCUUUGUUGUUACCCUAAUGUGCAUGAUGAACAUUUACUGUAUUAUAAUAUCCAAGUCUACAGUGCUACAUUUUAGUUGAUCAAUGUCAUGGCAUUUCUUUGAAGAAUUUAUGCAUAAUUUACAUGUAUAUCUUUCGAUUACAAUCUGAUAAUUUAUAUUCAUACCUUGAAUAUAUGCUAUACAUAUGUGUUUAAUAGCAAGUUAAUUUUGUUAAUUAAUAUGGCAAUAUUCAAUUUUAUUAGUCUGUUGGAAGUAGUUGUCAAAGCAAUAUUUAGUGAAUGUUUAGAUAAAGAUUUGAUAUUGUAAGAGAUAAAGUCUGACUUAUAGAUUUAUUUCUGUAUGAAAUAUCAACUUAAUAAUUGGUGCAUCUUAUUUCUUGUUUUGCAUUCUACAAUUUAUCAUUAAGUCUCUUUUGUAUUUCUUAUGUACUAUUUUAUUCAGACUUGAUGGUCUUCCAUUCAGUAAAAUACUU
rnacentral:misc_RNA from 1 species